CGUGUGCAUGUGUGUGUGUGUGUGUUUUCGUGUGUGUGUGCGUGUGCGUGUGCAUGUGGUGUGUGUUCGUGUGCGUGUGUGUGUGUGUGUGUAUGUAUGCGUGUGUGCGUGUGUUAGAGCAAUAUCCAAACUAACGAACAACGAAAAGUAAACAAGAGAAAGAGAAAAGAAAAUCCCCCCCCAAAAAAAAAAAAAAAAAAAAAAAAAAAAUACAGCCUCAGGUAAAAUAUCCAAGGCUAGUUUGAAGGGUAAAGUAAAUUAAAUCCAAAGUGUGAAUAACGAUAAGGCUGAUAAAUUACGGAAUAAAAGAGAAGGUCGGUUAAUGAAAACGUAAACCAAGCAAGACCCGAAGAAUGGUGUGGAAAGUAAAUAAAUGAUUAUUAAGAAAAGGCGCAAAUACAAUAUAUAUUCACGAAAUUGUUGUCGAAAUAUGAGACAUGCUAUAACGAAGGUGAUUCUUUUCAUGAAAGGUGUAACGUAAAAUAAAAGAGUGAAUGGUUGAAUGAAAGGUUAAGUCAAUAAGAAUGUAAAAUAGAGAAACGGAAGAGUGGAGGGAAAGGUAUGAAAGAGUAAUGUAAAAAAUAAAUAAACAAAAAAGAAAAAAAAAGUGAAUGGUUGAAUGAAAGGUUAAGUGAAUAAGAAUGUAAAAUAGAGAAACGGAAGAGUGAAGGGAAAGGUAUGAAAGAGUAAUGUAAAAAAAAAAAUAAUAAUAAAUAAAUACAUAAAUUAAAAAAUGGAAUAAAAGUCUGAGUAGAGUGAUGUAAAAAAUCAUUAAAUACAUAAAUUGAAAAAAUGGGAAAAAAAUAAAGCGUAUGUUAAGCAUAUAGAUCGUAAACUGGGUAAAGUAAUGUAAAAAAAGGAAAAAAAAGUAGAAUAUGAAAGGUUAAAUGAAAAGCAUGUAUGACACUUGGUAGAUUAAAAAAAAAAAAAAAAAAAAAAAAGCGAGAUGUUAAAUGAAAUGUAUGAAUGACUAAAAAAGAUACAUGGAAGAUAACGUGAAGGAAUACAGAAAUUAGAAAAUGAAAUUUUUAAAUAAAACGAAUGUAUAAUGAAUAUUCGAUACGGUAACAGGAACGUAAGAAAAUGAAAGAUUAAAUGAAGUGCAUGAAUGAUUUGGGGAGAAACGGAAAGAUAAGUAAAAGGUAUGGAUGGCAUAUUUAGAAAAAAAAAAAAUGUAAGAAUAUGAAAGGUAAAGCCAAAGGUAUGAAUUAUAAACUUGGAAAACUGAAACGUAUGAAAGACAAGAAAGGUAAUGAAAUGAGAGAAAAAAAAAGUUUAAAUGGAAGGUGUAGCUGAGACAUUAAUUAUUAUUAUCAUUAUUAUUAUUAUGUUUUUUUUUUUUUUUUUUCGAAAACUGGUGUCUAAUAAAGGAGCUUAAUGCAAUGUAAGAAACGGAAAGAUUAAAUGAAAGACAUGAAUGAGAGGGACAUAAGAAAUAAAAUCAUAAAAUGCAUGAAGAAGAUACGAAAGGAAUGGAUGGCAUAAUUAAGAACAGGAUUUCCUCAAUGGCUGAUACAAUGGCUGAAUUUGAUACCCACAAAAUGCAAUGAAAAGUUAAAAAGGCGAAAUAUUGUGUUCAACAUUAUAUAAAAAAAACUGACGAAAAAAGAGUUUGAACGUAAGGUAUAUGAUAAUAUUCUAGAUCAAGUUGGAUAAAGGUAAAUAAGGGAUAAGGGAGAUAAAAGUGUGGAUGACAUAUUUACGAAGGGGGAAUACCACACUGAUGAUGCGUGGGAUAAAGUAAGUAAAUAAAUAAAAUGAAAAAGAAAGAAAGGUAUGGAUAAAAUACUGGGUUCAAGAAUAUAUUAAAAGAGAAAGGUAAUUAUAGGUUGAACGAAAGGUGUGGAUGACACUGACUCGAACAUGAAUAAGAGAAAUGUAAAGAGAGAUGAGGUGUAUGGAUGACAAUAAGACAGUAAAAAUGGUCAAUAAAGAGAAUAGAUAAGAUAGUGGAAAUACUUAUACAUAAUAACAGGUUGGUGUCAGUGGGUUGAAAAAAAAAAAUGAAAGAAUAAAACAAUAAAUUUGAGGUAUUGGAUGACGAAAAGGGGAAAGAAAGGAAAUAAAAAACUAAGAGGUUAUUUAAAAGGUAUGAAAGGUAAACUUGUUGAGUAAUCAAAAAAUGAAAGUUCAGGUGAAAGGUAUAGGUGAGAGAGAGAGUGGAAUUAUUAAAUAAAAAGUAAAGGUAAAAAAAAAAGUAUGACUGGUAGGAUAGUUAGAGAAACGAAAAGCUUAAAUAAAAGGUAUGAUUGACACAGUAGAUUAAUACGAAACAAGAUUAAGUAAAAGGUAUGGGUGAACAUAGGUAGAAUAAUAGAAAAAGAAAAGAAAUAGAAGACAAAAUGAAAGACCUAAAUGACACACAAAGAAGAGGGUUACAGUGUCUAGAAACGAUAAGGUUAAAUAAAACACGUAAGAUAUGAGUAAAUACAAAAAAAUAUCAAAAUUAAACGUAUAAUGAAAGGUAUGCCUGGCACAUUUAACAUACAGACUUAAUUAAAUGACAAGUUAGAUGGAAUGAAUGACAUACCAGGGUAAAUGAAGUCAAAUUAGUUAAAGUAUAUUAUAAUGGGUAGGCUACGUGGAACAAAACAAACAUGGGUAGAUUAUCAAAGAUUUAUGCAUUGAAGGAAUUUAAAAAAACGUUAAAUAAGUUAAAUUUUAGGACGAAAGGCUGGGUAAAAGUAAUACAAAAGUAAAGAAAAAAAAUGAAGGCUGGCCUGAUAAAUUCAUAUUGCAUAAAAGAAUGGGUAGAAGGUUUGGAAAAUGUAAAAAAAAAAAAAAAAAAAAAAAA